rnacentral:rRNA from 1 species
GCUCAGAUAUGACGAUGGACAUUGCAAAGAGUGGCGAACGGGUGAGUAACACGUGGGAAACCUACCUCUUAGCAGGGGAUAACAUUUGGAAACAGAUGCUAAUACCGUAUAACAAUAGCAACCGCAUGGUUGCUACUUAAAAGAUGGUUCUGCUAUCACUAAGAGAUGGUCCCGCGGUGCAUUAGUUAGUUGGUGAGGUAAUGGCUCACCAAGACGAUGAUGCAUAGCCGAGUUGAGAGACUGAUCGGCCACAAUGGGACUGAGACACGGCCCAUACUCCAACGGGAGGCAGCAGUAGGGAAUCUUCCACAAUGGGCGAAAGCCUGAUGGAGCAACGCCGCGUGUGUGAUGAAGGGUUUCGGCUCGUAAAACACUGUUGUAAGAGAAGAAUGACAUUGAGAGUAACUGUUCAAUGUGUGACGGUAUCUUACCAGAAAGGAACGGCUAAAUACGUGCCAGCAGCCGCGGUAAUACGUAUGUUCCAAGCGUUAUCCGGAUUUUUUGGGCGUAAAGCGAGCGCAGACGGUUAUUUAAGUCUGAAGUGAAAGCCCUCAGCUCAACUGAGGAAUUGCUUUGGA